UCAGAAGCCCACGCAGGGCUGAUGGAAGGUAUUCCCUCUGUACCUCGGUUGCAGCCUCGUGAGCGAGUCUGGAUCGGAGCCCGCGAAUUUGUGCCCGGAUUCCCGGCGCGAAGAAACUGCGGAGGAUCAUGUGUGCUGUUUGAAGCCACUAACUGCCAUCCAGCAACAGUUAUAUUAAGAGAUGUGAUUACCAACCACCCUGAACUGGUCCAGACGCCACUGCAAGAGCUACUGAGAAGCGCCCAAGAGAUGACCUUUGGCUCAUUUUAAUGUUAAGAUCUCCACCCCAGGAGGAGCUCAGGCCUUAUUCCCAGAACACGCGAUAUAUGUGGAAGCGUGUUUUCCAGCCGAGCCAGUGCCAGCAAAUACCUAUCUCUCUCUCUCGAAUAUUCAUUCCCCCUCUGAAAUAAAAGUCCCCUGCUUCCCCUUGCUCAGGGUCCACGGCUUCAAAAAGGACUCCCCGUGGUCUCUAUUUGCUGCAAAUAAAUCUUACUUUGUGUGACAA